rnacentral:lncRNA from 1 species
GAUUACAGGCGUGAGCCACCGCACCUGGCCGUCACACCCCUUUUUCAGACAACAAUCCUCAGAGGUUCUUAGCACCCAGGCAGGGGCUUGAAGGAGUUCAUGAACCCUCCCCCACAAAUGAGGGGCACAUGUUUGUGGGUGCAUGUUCUGUGAGUCCCACGGGGUUUCUCAAGUGGGUCUUUGACCAAAGGAGGUUAAGGACCUCGACCUUCCAUGACCUGUCCCAGGUAGGGGUCAGGAUUUGAGCUUUGGUCAGUGGGACUCCCAGGCUGUCCCCAUGAGUGGAAUCACAGGCUCUGAGGGGGUUUUUCCGGAGGUAAGGCUUUCCUGCAAACUGGAAGGCAGGUCUUGGGGACACUUGAGUCCCUGGACUUAACCCCCGUGCCCACCUCUGGGGUGUUUUGGCCCGGGAGGCCUGACUGGCCACUCACUCACCCACCCAUGGAACAUAACCGGGUCCUGGGCUGUGCCCCACCCUGGGUUCCAGCCCCAGCCCGUCCCGCCUCCAUCCCCCUUCCUGAGUGCCCCCCAACCUCCACAACAGGCCCCUCAUCCUCUGGCCUCUGGAGAUCUUAGGCAGCUCAGCUCAGCCUCGGUUUCAGCAGCAGGGGUGGCAAGAGCGCACCUGAGCUGAGGUUGAAGUGGGGGGUAGUUUUCUAGGCCGUUGCCAGGGCGAUGCCACCUGAGCUGGGCGCCAGGCACCUGUCGUCUGGGGAACAGUGCAGGCGGGGACCUUCCCCCGGGAGCUAGCGGGGCCACUGGGCUGAGACGGGG